AACGAACGCUGGCGGCAUGCCUAACACAUGCAAGUCGAACGAUCCCUUCGGGGAUAGUGGCGCACGGGUGCGUAACGCGUGGGAACCUGCCCUUAGGUUCGGAAUAACUCAGAGAAAUUUGAGCUAAUACCGGAUAAUGUCUUCGGACCAAAGAUUUAUCGCCUUUGGAUGGGCCCGCGUUGGAUUAGCUAGUUGGUGGGGUAAAGGCCUACCAAGGCGACGAUCCAUAGCUGGUCUGAGAGGAUGAUCAGCCACACUGGGACUGAGACACGGCCCAGACUCCUACGGGAGGCAGCAGUGGGGAAUAUUGGACAAUGGGCGAAAGACUGAUCCAGCAAUGCCGCGUGAGUGAUGAAGGCCUUAGGGUUGUAAAGCUCUUUUACCCGGGAUGAUAAUGACAGUACCGGGAGAAUAAGCCCCGGCUAACUCCGUG
rnacentral:rRNA from 1 species